rnacentral:rRNA from 1 species
AUUGAACGCUGGCGGCAGGCCUAACACAUGCAAGUCGAGCGGAUGAAGAGAGUUUGCUCUCUGAUUUAGCGGCGGACGGGUCAGUAAUGCCUAGGAAUCUGCCUGAUAGUGGGGGAUAACGUUUCGAAAGGAACGCUAAUAUCGCAUACGUUCUACGGGAGAAAGCGGGGGAUGUUCGGACCUCGCGCUAUCAGAUGAGCCUAGGUCGGAUUAGCUAGUUGGUGAGGUAAAGGCUCACCAAGGCGACGAUCCGUAACUGGUCUGAGAGGAUGAUCAGGCACACUGGAACUGAGACACGGUCCAGACUCCUACGGGAGGCAGCAGUGGGGAAUAUUGGACAAUGGGCGAAAGCCUGAUCCAGCCAUGCCGCGUGUGUGAAGAAGGUCUUCGGAUUUUAAAGCACUUUAAGUUGGGAGGAAGGGUUGUAGAUUAAUACUCUGCAAUUUUGACGUUACCGACAGAAUAAGCACCGGCUAACUUCGUGCCAGCCGCCGCCGUAAUAC